GAUGAAGAACGUAGCGAAAUGCGAUAAGUAAUGCGAAUUGCAGAAUUUCCGUGAGUCAUCGAAUCUUUGAACGCACAUUGCGCCCACUGGUAUUCCGGUGGGCAUGCCUGUUCGAGCGUCAUUAUCCCCCCUCAAACCCCGUGUUUGGUGUUAGACCCAAGUUGUGUGAACAACUGGUCUCAAAGACAAUGACGGCGUCCGUGGGACCCUCGGUGCAACGAGCUUUUAGGAGCACGUGCUGAGUUUCAAGGACCCUCCGGGCCGGUCUCCUAUUUAUCAUCAAGGUUGACCUCGGAUCAGGUAGGAAUACCCGCUGAACUUAAGCAUAUCAAUAAGCGGAGGA
rnacentral:misc_RNA from 1 species